UUAAGUUCAGCGGGUAUCCCUACCUGAUCCGAGGUCAACCAGAGAGUGGGGGGGUUCUGGCGGGCGACCGCCGGGGCCGAGAGCGAGAGCUGUACUGCGCUUCGGGCCAGGCGGCGCCGCCACUGUCUUUCGGGCCAGCCGCGCCGGCUGCGCCCAACACCAAGCCGGGCUUGAGGGUUGAAAUGACGCUCGAACAGGCA
rnacentral:misc_RNA from 1 species